CCUGGUAUAAAUAACGCAAUGGUACCACCUGAAUCCAUUCCGAACUCAGAAGUGAAACAUUGUAGUGCCGAUGGUAGUAUGAGGUUUCCUCAUGUAAGAGUAGGUAAAUACCAGGA
rnacentral:rRNA from 1 species